AGCCCCAGUUUCCUUUCCUGCCAACGAAGUGUGAGGCUUCCAGUAGCUCCACAUCCCCGUUAGCGCUUGAUGAGGUCAGCCGGUCCCAUCUCAGCCGCCCGGUGGGUGCGCGGAGGCAGCUCGCGGGCAUCAGCUGCAUUUCCCUGGUGACGCCGGAGUGUGAGCGGAAGCUUGGCUCGGGCCAUCUGCCCCGGUUCCCGCAGCUUCCCCGGGAGGGAGUGGGUUGGCCCCAUUUCACAAGGAGGAAGCCUGGAUCCGCGCCCUUGCGCCUCCUGCCUGAGGUCACCCAGCUGUCCUGCCCUGUGGCACGUUGGUCCCCUUGGGUCUGAAGGUGCAAGACCAAGGCUGAGAGAGCUCUGGACAGGUGGGCCUGCGUCUCCUACCUGUGAGGUUAAGCCCUGCUGGUAAGCAGUAAGCAGACCCAUCCAACUCCACGUUCCUGCACGUGCUGCCUCGGAGAGAAGCUUCUGGUCCAGGAAGAGGAGGCAGCCACGUAAUGCUACUAUGGAAAAAAUAAAGCAGAAUCCAGACCUAGGUGUCUGACGUUGAGCCAAAGCAGGCCUCGGACAAAGCAGGUGGAGGCGACCACAGGAGAUAAGUCCUCCGUCUGUGCUUUUAUUUUGACAUAAAAUGCUUCACAGGGUUUUUUCCACAGUAAAAUGAGACCCUGACACAUAUUCAGGGAACUGCCUGUACCUAUUUCUCCAAGAACAGAGAGUUAAGGGGAGGACCCACCUCUACUCCACUGAGCCCAUGAAGGACACCAAGCCCGUCAAGGGGCCGAGACACCAGCCCGGCCCAGCACCGUAAAAGAAGAGCAGAACAAUAAAUCCAUUUACCAGAGUAAGGGGCUGAGAGCGCAGGCCCGUUCCCGUGCACGUUGAUGGCGGGGAUGUAAGGUCCGCAUCUGCCACGGAGAUGUGACACGGAAUGGGGGUGGGGG